GUUAGAAUGCCAGCCUGUCACGCUGGAGGUCGUGGGUUCGAUCCCCAUCCGGAUCG
rnacentral:tRNA from 1 species